rnacentral:ncRNA from 1 species
GCCGGUGAGAUCCCGGCACAGUCCCGCUACGGUGAGCGCUCUCCAGAGGGCGCGAGUCCGG